rnacentral:rRNA from 1 species
GCACUUUCAGUCGUGAGGAAGGUAGUGUAGUUAAUAGCUGCAUUAUUUGACGUUAGCGACAGAAGAAGCACCGGCUAACUCCGUGCCAGCAGCCGCGGUAAUACGGAGGGUGCGAGCGUUAAUCGGAAUUACUGGGCGUAAAGACGCAUGCAGGUGGGUUUGUUUAAGUCAGAUGUGAAAGACCCGGGGCGUCAACCUCGGAAUAGCAUUUGAAACUGGCAGACUAGAGUACUGUAGAGGGGGGUAGGAAUUUCAGGUGUAGCGGUGAAAUAGCGUAGAGAUCUGAAGGAAUACCGGUGGCGAAGGCGGCCCCCUCGGACAGAUACUGACACUCAGAUGCGAAAGCGUGGGGAGCAAACAGGAUUAGAUACCCCUGGUAG